AAAUGGAGGAAAAGGAAACCGCCUUUCAGUUAAACCGACUCACUGCACGAUCUAUUGGCCUUUCUGGGUCUUUGGUGGCUAUACUCGUUUGGCUUUUCUCCUUCCCAGCUUGGAGGCUGCUUUAUCCAAAUGCUUUCUUCAGUCCUCAACUUGGCGUUUCAACCCGAAUGCGCCUUUUCUUCCAUCUUAGAUCUGCCUUCUUAUGUGUUUCUCCAGCUCUUCGUUUAAAACUCCUUCAAAUCGUAUUUCAGUUUUGACUGGUAUAGCAUACAUUGGCAACUGUUAUACGCAGGGGCUCUUUUCCUCAUAAUACUGUAUUUGGUUUAAUUUGUGUAAGUCCUGCCUUGCGAAUUGGAUUUUAAGUUCGAGAAGGGCAAGGGCAGAACCGUUCUUUUGUCUGUUCCACACCUCGGGUGCGGGGCCUGGGAAGUAGAGGCUUUGCUUACUACUCCAUCCUGCAAACCUUAGUUUACCAGCCUUUGCAGGGCAGCUAUUCUCAUGCUCUUAAUAACCCUGAAUAAACCUCAGAAUUGCA
rnacentral:lncRNA from 1 species